rfam:Callithrix jacchus chromosome 17, whole genome shotgun sequence
UCUGAGUGUAGUCUGGCUGUGACAUCAGUGUCCCACUGAUUACUAGGGUUGAUUCAACUGAUUUGGCUGACUGGGCUGGGGUCUAUAUACUUCCUUCAGAAC